rnacentral:rRNA from 1 species
UACGGGGGAUGCAAGUGUUAUCCGGAAUCACUGGGCGUAAAGCGUGUGCAGGUGGUUUCCUAAGUCCACUGUUAAACCUUGAGGCUCAACCUCAAAUCUGCAUUGGAAACUAGGAGACUUGAGUAUAGUAGAGGUAGAGGGAAUUUCCAGUGGAGCGGUGAAAUGCGUAGAUAUUGGAAAGAACACCGAUGGCGAAGGCACUCUACUGGGCUAUUACUGACACUCAGAGACGAAAGCUAGGGGAGCAAAUGGG